GCAGGAUGCUGCUUAAUGCGCAUAAAGAAAGUAUUCUACAUUUCUUGUUGCAUAGUGAACAUGAAGGCGUUAAGAAGAUCGAUCCUUUUGUUGGUGUGUUUGACGUUUUCAUUUAGAAUUAAGGCAUUUCAAUUAUCGUGGAAAGGCAACAGCUAUGAACAAUAUGCACGAGGCAACGGAUACAGAACCAGCAACGAUAGAUUCCACCAAUCAUCGGGCGGAAUAAAGGGUGAAGGUAAUUAU